rnacentral:SRP_RNA from 1 species
GCCGGGUGCGGUGGCCUGUGCCUGUAGUCCCAGCUACUCAGGAGGCUGAGGCUGGAGGAUCUCUUGAGUUCAGGAGUUCUGGGCUGUAGUGCACUAUGCCGAUUGGGUGUCCACACUAAGUUCGGCAUCAAUAUGGUGACCUCCCGGGAGCGGGGGACCACCAGGUUGCCUGAGGAGGGGUGAACCAGCCCAGGUCGGAAACGGAGCAGGUCAAAACUCCCGUGCUGAUCAGUAGUGGGAUUGCGCCUGUGAGUAGCCACUGCACUCCAGCCUGGGCAACAUAGCGAGACCCCAUCUCU